rnacentral:misc_RNA from 1 species
GUUUCUCUUGUAUCGGCUACUAAGAGCUGCAAAAGAGAAGAAGUGACACAAAAAUGGUGAGGUUAACGGCGGACCUGAUAUGGAAAAGCCCUCAUUUCUUCAAUGCCAUACGCGAACGCGAGUUAGAUCUUCGAGGUAAUAAGAUUCCGGUCAUUGAGAACUUAGGUGCUACCGAGGAUCAGUUUGACACGAUUGAUUUAUCUGAUAAUGAGAUUGUUAAACUGGAGAAUUUUCCAUAUCUGAAUCGACUUGGAACUUUACUAAUGAACAACAAUAGAAUUACGCGUAUCAACCCUAACAUUGGAGAGUUUCUGCCAAAAUUGCAUACUUUGAUUAUUACUAGCAACAGACUUACGAAUUUGGUUGAAAUUGACCCGCUUGCAUCUCUCCCGAAGCUGAAGUUUCUUAGUCUUCUUGAGAACAAUAUCACAAAGAGACCAAAUUAUCGCCUUUAUGUCAUUCACAAGUUGAAGUCCUUGCGUUUGUUGGAUUUCAGGAAAGUCAAACAAAAGGAGAGAUUGGAAGCAAGUAAAUUAUUUGCAUCACAAGAAGCUGUAGAGCAGGUCAAAAAGGAAUCAGUGAAGACUGUACCUGUUGAGGUUGCGGCACCUGCUGAGGAACCAAAGGAAGCUCAAGCAUCUAAGCCAGUUGCUCCUACACCUGAGCAAAUAAUAGCAAUUAAGGCUGCCAUUGUGAAUUCCCAAACUCUUGAGGAGGUGGCUAGACUUGAACAGGCAUUGAAGUCGGGCCAGCUUCCUGCAGAUCUAAAUAUUGGUGAUCAUGAUGUUACUGCUAAAAAAGAAGACGCCAAAGAAGACAAGAUGGUUACAGAUAGCGAUGAUAAAGCUAACAAGGUGGAGGAAAAUGUACCUGAACAGACACCUGAUGGUCCUACAGAUAUGGAGCAGGAGUAGAUACCCUGGGGGUUAUCAUGUGUAAUUGAGUUGGACAUUCAAAAGACAGUACGUUCAGUCAUGCACCAUUAUCCGUGUAGGAGGAGCGCUUCUUUUUGAAGUGAGGGGAUUAGUUAAUCGAUGUAACUGAAGCCAUUGUAUUCUGCUGUGUACUAAGACCUUUUCUUGCAUUUUGAUUCUAAAAGACUCAAGUAGCUGCCAAGUUUAGCAAAUCGUAGCUUAAAAGCAUCAGGUGACAAAAACUGAAUUAGUGUGUGAAAAGUUGUAUUAAACAAAAGAAAGAAGUUUG